rnacentral:RNase_P_RNA from 1 species
ACAGUCGGUCGGUUUGUCGCUUGCACUUAUGGUGUAUGAGGAAAGUCCGGGCAACAUAGAGCAUUCCACUUCCUAACAGAAAGCUAUUUGCGAGGGUAGAGUAACACAGAAGAAAAUAACCGCCAUAUUACUAUGGUAAGGGUGAGAAGGUAGGGUAAGAGCCUACCGGGCGGGUGGUGACAUCCGUGCCGUGUGUCUUGGAAGUUGUAAGAUCAUGUAUACUGACGUUAUGAGGGCUGCUCGCUCCAUGUCAGAGGGUAGAUCGCUAAAGCGGCUUGGUGACAUUCCGCUCAGAUAAAUGACAGACAUUUCGUUUGCGAAAAGACAGAACCCGGCUUAUAGACUGACUGUCUUU